GACGAACGCUGGCGGCGUGCCUAAUACAUGCAAGUAGAACGCUGACGGAGGAGAUUGCUUCUCUGGAUGAGUUGCGAACGGGUGAGUAACGCGUAGGUAACCUGCCUGGUAGCGGGGGAUAACUAUUGGAAACGAUAGCUAAUACCGCAUAAUAGUAGAUGUUGCAUGACAUUUGCUUAAAAGGUGCAAUUGCAUCACUACCAGAUGGACCUGCGUUGUAUUAGCUAGUUGGUGAGGUAACGGCUCACCAAGGCGACGAUACAUAGCCGACCUGAGAGGGUGAUCGGCCACACCUGGACUGGAGACCGGCCCAAGCCCCUACGGGGGGCAGCAGUAGGGAAUCUUCGGCAAUGGACGGAAGUCUGACCGAGCAACGCCGCGUGGGUGAAGGAGGUUUUCGGAUCGUAAAGCUCUGUUGUAAGAGAAGAAAGAGUGUGAGAGUGGAAAGUUCACACUGUGACGGUAUCUUACCAGAAAGGGACGGCUAACUACGUG
rnacentral:rRNA from 1 species